UUUGGGGACCACUGGUCUGGAGGGACAAAAUAGCUGGGAGAAGUUGGCUCCAAAUGGAUAAGUUGGGUGCCAAGGUGCCACCUUCCCUGACCUCACAGUCCCCCAGCUCAGCUCUGACCCCCCCAGGGACCACUGAGAUGCCAAAGUGUAAGGGCUCUUUCGAAGGAAUUAACGAGGCUGGGAGAAAAAGAGAGAAGUGACGGGGCCUCUUUAGCAGAGGACUUAUGUGGGUAAGGAGAGAGCAGUGAGGACUCAAAAUUGAUCAAGUCAUUUGGUUUAUAUGCAAACGUCCCCAGGGCCACUGAGGCACCUGGCAGAAAUGCCCAUGCCCAGUGCUUUUUUGUUGUUGUUGUUCUGAGACGGAGUUUCGUUCUGUCACCCAGGCUGGAAUGCAGUGGUGCGAU